AAGCAACCUAGCAUGCCUCUAAACCAGGUUCCAACAACAAUUAACAUAUUCAUAACAUAACAACCAAGACCCUAUAUCAUCCUCCUCCUCAUUGCCAUGAUUCCACGUCACACUUUACCUGCACCACAAACACAAUGAGAUUCGUGAGUAUUAUCACAAAUACUCAGUGAAGCGAUCCUCCUAUACACACAAGCACUUAAGAUCACAUCCAUACAACAACAAUGUCACAAACAGCCAAAAAAGGCAAUCAAAAACACAACUAUCGCUCAUAGAAAACUGGUGUCGGUCGACACCAAAAGCUUGUGUCGAUCGACACCACCAAACUGCACUGCGAUCAACCGAAUGGUGACGAUCGACACCCCCCUGGUGUCGGUCGACACCCACCCCCUGAAACGCAUCCAACGACGAUCUUAGCCACCAAAGAAUCCCUAUAGCACCCAGACAUCACCUCCCACAACGACACAACUCAAUAACAAUCACAUAAGGCCACACAAACACCAGAAAACAUCACAAACACAAAGGAUUCAAUUCACAAAUCACAUAAACACAAAUCACAUAAACACAAAUCACAUAAUUCACAAAUCACAUAAACAUAAACCUCCAGAAACCCUCACAAGCCUCUCCUUAAGCUCUAGGAACAACCAACUCACAACCCUCUCUCUCUCUCUUUUCUUUUCAAGAAGCAACAAAAGCCAAAAGUGAGAAAGAAAGGCUGCUUCCACGAGUUUAAAGUCGUGCCUAGGGUUUCUGCAAUCAAUUCUAAUUAAACCGACGGUUUUAUAGCUAAACCGUCUAACCCAAUUUUGUUGAUGUAGAUCGACACCCAACACUGGUGUCGGUCGACACCACCAAAAUUUCAGACACGGGCGUUACAAAUGUAAUUAAGGGUAAUUUUAGAAAUUGAAGCCAAUUUUAAGCAAGACUUAAAUGUGUACUUCUUUUUUAAUAUAUAAGAGUAUAUGGUUGGAAUAGUUACAAAUUUCAUUUUGUUUUAGUUCUUAGUUAGUUUUGCCAAAAUCUCUUGCUUAUAUUAACACGCUUCAAUUCUUUCACAUGAAAAAAAAAACUGGUUAUUAAUUAUUAUUAAAGUUUACCAUAUGAUAUGUAACUUACAAUAAACUUGGUCAGAGUAACUCACCCAUAUUGUGUUUGCCCUUAGGUGACAUGGCCAUUGAGGUUAUAAUAGGUUUGGUCUUUUUUCUUAUGAUAGUUUUCAGUUGUGGUGUAGUGGAUGCUAAUAGGUUGUGCAAAUGAUAAAUAUUUAUAGUUUUUG
rnacentral:lncRNA from 1 species